AACGCACAUUGCGCCUGCUAGUACUCUGGCGGGCAUGCCUGCUCGAGCGUCAUUUUAACCACUGGGCUCUCCAAUUGGCUGGGCCUGUGUUGGGGCCCUGCAGAUGCCUGCAGGCCCUAAAAAAUAGUGGUGGACUCGUGGUUGCCCCAAGUGUAGUAACAUUUAUCUCGCUUUUGGAGGUGGCUCGAGGCUCUUGGCCAUAAAACAGGUGGCUCUGUCCCCCAAAAGGUUGACCUCGGAUUAGGUAGGAGGACCCGCUGAACUUAA
rnacentral:misc_RNA from 1 species